AUUGAACGCUGGCGGCAGGCCUCACACAUGCAAGUCGAACGAGUGGCGUACGGUUGAGUAAUUUCUGGGAAACUGCCUGAUGUAGGGGGAUAACUCCUGUAAACGGUAGCUAAUACCGCAUACCAUCCGAUUUGCCCAUAUUGGCUUAGCUAGUUGGUGGGGUAACGGCUCACCCAGGCGACGAUCCCUAGCUGGUCUGAGAGGAUGACAAGCAACACUGGAACUGAGACACGGUCCAGACUCCUACGGGAGGUAGCAGUGGGGAAUAUUGCACAAUUGGCGCAAGCCUGAUGCAGCCAUGCCGCGUGUAUGAAGAAGGCCUUCGGGUUGUAAAGUACUUUCAGCGGGGAGGCGUUACCCGAAGAAGAAGCACCGGCUAACUCCGUGCCAGCAGCCGCGGUAAUAC
rnacentral:rRNA from 1 species